GAAAAAAGUAGAAAGAAGGUCCGGGUUGGCUUGCACGUAUGAGUUACAUCUUCUGGGCAAGUGUAAUAGAGGUUAGAGAUGUUAAAGGGUAAAGAGAGAGAUACUUGACUUUAAGUCAGAAAAUGGUUGGUGUAGUUUUUGGUUUCGAUGGCAAGUUACUGGUUUGGGCUCUCAUCUUUAUUAGAUCGACAACUAUUUUAGUAAUUUAGCUGGAGAGGCCAGAACAAAUUGGUUAUAUUUUA
rnacentral:misc_RNA from 1 species